AACGAACGCUGGCGGCGUGCCUAACACAUGCAAGUCGAACGUGAUUGGAAGCUUGCUUCCAUGAAAGUGGCGCACGGGUGAGUAACGCGUAGAUAAUCUGCCUGGUGAUCCGGGAUAACACUUCGAAAGGGGUGCUAAUACCUGAUAAGCCCACGGGGUCUUCGGACUCUGCGGGAAAAGGGGGGGACCUUCGGGCCUUCUGUCACCAGAUGAGUCUGCGUACCAUUAGCUAGUUGGUAGGGUAAAGGCCUACCAAGGAGACGAUGGUUAGCUGGUGUGAGAGGAUGAUCAGCCACACUGGAACGCAGACACGGUGCAGACUCCUACGGGAGGCAGCAGUGGGGAAGUUUGCGCAAUGGGGGAAACCCUGACGCAGCAACGCCGCGUGAGUGAUGAAGGCCCUUGGGUCGUAAAGCUCUGACAGAGGGAAAGAAAUGUGGGUGGCUAAUAUCCAUACCACUUGACGGUACCCUCAAAGGAAGCACCGGCUAACUCCGUGCCAGCAGCCGCCGUAAAAC
rnacentral:rRNA from 1 species